rnacentral:rRNA from 1 species
UACGGGGGGGGCAAGCGUUGUUCGGAAUUACUGGGCGUAAAGGGCUCGUAGGCGGCCAACUAAGUCAGACGUGAAAUCCCUCGGCUUAACCGGGGAACUGCAUCUGAUACUGGAUGGCUUGAGUUCGGGAGAGGGACGCGGAAUUCCAGGUGUAGCGGUGAAAUGCGUAGAUAUCUGGAGGAACACCGGUGGCGAAGGCGGCGUCCUGGACCAAUACUGACACUGAAACGCGAAAGCCAGGGGAGCAAACGGG